AUCCAAAGUAUUGAGCAAAUAAUUUCAUAGUAGCUUCCCUGUUCUGUUAAUUAAACUUUGGGACAUUGAAACACAGGCUAGGGGAGAUGAAUGCAUAGAAAACAUUGCUCUAUUCAUUUACCUCCCAGUCUACAAAA